rnacentral:rRNA from 1 species
ACGAACGCUGGCGGCGUGCCUAAUACAUGCAAGUCGAACGCUUCUUUUUCCACCGGAGCUUGCUCCACCGGAAAAAGAGGAGUGGCGAACGGGUGAGUAACACGUGGGUAACCUGCCCAUCAGAAGGGGAUAACACUUGGAAACAGGUGCUAAUACCGUAUAACAAUCGAAACCGCAUGGUUUUGAUUUGAAAGGCGCUUUCGGGUGUCGCUGAUGGAUGGACCCGCGGUGCAUUAGCUAGUUGGUGAGGUAACGGCUCACCAAGGCGACGAUGCAUAGCCGACCUGAGAGGGUGAUCGGCCACAUUGGGACUGAGACACGGCCCAAACUCCUACGGGAGGCAGCAGUAGGGAAUCUUCGGCAAUGGACGAAAGUCUGACCGAGCAACGCCGCGUGAGUGAAGAAGGUUUUCGGAUCGUAAAACUCUGUUGUUAGAGAAGAACAAGGAUGAGAGUAACUGUUCAUCCCUUGACGGUAUCUAACCAGAAAGCCACGGCUAACUACGUGCCAGCAGCCGCGGUAAUACGUAGGUGGCAAGCGUUGUCCGGAUUUAUUGGGCGUAAAGCGAGCGCAGGCGGUUUCUUAAGUCUGAUGUGAAAGCCCCCGGCUCAACCGGGGAGGGUCAUUGGAAACUGGGAGACUUGAGUGCAGAAGAGGAGAGUGGAAUUCCAUGUGUAGCGGUGAAAUGCGUAGAUAUAUGGAGGAACACCAGUGGCGAAGGCGGCUCUCUGGUCUGUAACUGACGCUGAGGCUCGAAAGCGUGGGGAGCAAACAGGAUUAGAUACCCUGGUAGUCCACGCCGUAAACGAUGAGUGCUAAGUGUUGGAGGGUUUCCGCCCUUCAGUGCUGCAGCUAACGCAUUAAGCACUCCGCCUGGGGAGUACGACCGCAAGGUUGAAACUCAAAGGAAUUGACGGGGGCCCGCACAAGCGGUGGAGCAUGUGGUUUAAUUCGAAGCAACGCGAAGAACCUUACCAGGUCUUGACAUCCUUUGACCACUCUAGAGAUAGAGCUUCCCCUUCGGGGGCAAAGUGACAGGUGGUGCAUGGUUGUCGUCAGCUCGUGUCGUGAGAUGUUGGGUUAAGUCCCGCAACGAGCGCAACCCUUGCUAUUAGUUGCUACGCAAGAGCACUCUAAUAGGACUGCCGUUGACAAAACGGAGGAAGGUGGGGACGACGUCAAAUCAUCAUGCCCCUUAUGACCUGGGCUACACACGUGCUACAAUGGGAAGUACAACGAGUCGCAAAGUCGCGAGGCUAAGCUAAUCUCUUAAAGCUUCUCUCAGUUCGGAUUGUAGGCUGCAACUCGCCUACAUGAAGCCGGAAUCGCUAGUAAUCGCGGAUCAGCACGCCGCGGUGAAUACGUUCCCGGGCCUUGUACACACCGCCCGUCACACCACGAGAGUUUGUAACACCCGAAGUCGGUGAGGUAACCUUUUGGAGCCAGCCGCCUAAGGUGGGAUAGAUGAUUGGGGUG